GCCCGGAUAGCUCAGUCGGUAGAGCAUUAGGCUUUUACCCUAGGGUUCUGGGUUCGAGUCCCUGUUCGGGCU
rnacentral:tRNA from 1 species